CACAAGAACACAGGAUAAAGGGCCAGGAAGAGAAAAGAGUGAUAAUGAAACUUCCUUCCAGAAAGAAGACUUAUCCAGGACAAGCUAACAGCUUUGACAUUCCUUGUCUACCUCUAGACCUGGACUUUAAGGUGUCUCACCCAAUUCUUUGUUCAGGAGAAAAAUUAUCUGUAGAAAAUCCUGGAAAGAGUUCACAGUACCCCCAGAACCCUGGACCCACAAUGUGCCAUGGCAAAUGCCCUGCAGAUCACAGGAACUUUACCAUUAGGCU